UACGUAGGGGGCGAGCGUUGUCCGGAUUUAUUGGGCGUAAAGAGCGUGUAGGCGGCCAGGUAGGUCUGCUGUGAAAACUCGAGGCUCAACCUCGAGACGUCGGCGGAAACCAUCUGGCUAGAGUACAGAAGAGGAAAGCGGAAUUCCACGUGUAGCGGUGAAAUGCGUAGAGAUGUGGAGGAACACCAGUGGCGAAGGCGGCUUUCUGGUCUGUAACUGACGCUGAGGCGCGAAAGCGUGGGGAGCAAACAGG
rnacentral:rRNA from 1 species